rnacentral:tRNA from 1 species
UCUAAUAUGGCAGAAUAGUGCAUUGGAUUUAAACCCCAAAAAUAAAGCUCCAGCUUUUUUUAGAA